AUAAAACACAAGAGGAAGUUCUGAUCUGUCCUUUCUGAUCCGCCUCUUGCCGAAGGACCAACAAGGUCUAUGGUGAUACCUCUUAGGGGACGCUGUGGAUCCUUGACUGGUCCCCAAGCACUAAUGUCAUCAUGAAGGAGGAGGGGUCACAAAACCUGCUGCCAGGGGUAGGUGAUCUGGCCCAGUGUGACUCAGAGGGAUGGCUCAUUUGCAUUUGCAUGAGUCAUCACCUUUGUUUUGCUUUGGUGUCAGGUGUCGCGGGAGCCAGCUCUUCAAUGCUGCGAUGCGAAGUCUAAAGUCUUAUAAGCCUCCUGUGAAGUCUCAAGCCAACCAGAAAAUAACUUGCCAAUGCACGUGAUGCCAAAAGUGAACCAAGGAAACUCCCUGAUACAUUGUUGAAUAAUUCAUAAAUACUGAUACAAAUAUGAAACGUGAAGAUGUGUUUUUCUAAGUGAAACCUUUGGUUUCUGCACUGCUUGGUUCGGUUGGUCCGGGGCCCAGCUGAGAAAACAAAAAGCCCCGGAAAAAAUCUAAAAAACAAAAUAAAAAUAGCAAAAUAUGUAACAGAAA